AUUGAACGCUGGCGGCAUGCUUUACACAUGCAAGUCGAGCGGCAGCGCGGGGGCAACCCUGGCGGCGAGCGGCGAACGGGUGAGUAAUGCAUCGGAACGUACCCGCAGUGGGGGAUAACCCAGCGAAAGCUGGGCUAAUACCGCAUAUGCUCUACGGAGGAAAGUGGGGGACUCGCAAGGGCCUCACGCUAUGGGAGCGGCCGAUGUCCGAUUAGCUAGUUGGUGGGGUAAUGGCCCACCAAGGCGACGAUCGGUAGCUGGUCUGAGAGGAUGAUCAGCCACACUGGGACUGAGACACGGCCCAGACUCUACGGGAGGCAGCAGUGGGGAAUUUUGGACAAUGGGGGCAACCCGUGAUCCAGCCAUGCCGCGUGCGGG
rnacentral:rRNA from 1 species